rnacentral:tRNA from 1 species
UACCAUAUGGUCUAGCAGGCAGGAUUCCUGGUCUUCACCCAGGCGGCCUGGGUUCAACGCCAGGUAUGGGAA